UACAGAGGGUGCAAGCGUUGUUCGGAAUUACUGGGCGUAAAGGGCGCGUAGGCGGUUGGAUAAGUCAGCUGUGAAAACCACGGGCUUAACUCGUGGCCUGCAGUUGAGACUGUCUGGCCUGAGUGUGGGAGAGGAGAGUGGAAUUCCUGGUGUAGCGGUGAAAUGCGUAGAUAUCAGGAGGAACACCGGUGGCGAAGGCGGCUCUCUGGACCACAACUGACGCUGAGGCGCGAAAGCUAGGGAAGCAAACAGG
rnacentral:rRNA from 1 species